AUAAAAGUCAGCCGUCAAGCGGUGCAAAACCUUGUUCCACCAUCAAACCGUAAGCAUGGCAGCUUCAGGGCUGAGAUAUGUCCUUAAUUACCACAAAAACUGUCUUUCCACCGCUUCGAACGUUAUUCUUUCAAUGUCCUUGCUUUCUAGGAAAUACCUUCAAGCCAACAGGGUUAAGCUGAUCCGGUUUUUGACCUUUCCGCAUGCCCUGGUUAAAAGAAACCCAAGACCUUUGCCUCGACCUCUACAGGUUCACGCUUCACACAAUCAUUAUUGCAAGCAAUUUCAUUCUUCAACACAUUCUUCUUUAAUUCUCUCCAAGCAGCGAAAUGCUGCCGUGGCCCGACUUGGAACUCUUUUACACAGAUCUUAUCACGAUGACAAAUCGGAUAAACCUUGUUUGAAAUUAAUGGAUUUUCCUGAAAUAAUUUGGCCGAGUCCGAUAAAAUCCUUCCGAAAUUGGUGGUUUUCCAAAUUAAUUCAAGGAUAUUACGAUCACAGCUUUUCCAUAGAUUCUUUCCUAACUGGCUCAGAACAGGCCAUUAAUUAUGUUUCUAACUGUUUGGCAGAAGGAGAUUUUGAUGAGCUUCAACACAUUGUGGAACCUGAAGCUCUCCAAGAAAUCCAGAAUAACUACGCUGACUUAAGCUACAGUCAAAGAACAUCACUUGCUAUUAAACCCGAAGAUAUAUUCCUACGUUUUAUUUAUGAAAUCGGAAUGAUGUUUGAUGACAAUGAAAAUUCAUCCGAGAUUUUACCAAAGGAGUUUCCAGUAGUGAUUGGAUAAUUAAUAAGCUGAAUCAUUUCAUACCAAAUGAACUCACCUUGAAAUAAUUACAGUGUACCCGUAUGAUUUUUACCAACAUCCCAGGUGGAACUAGAAAUGAAUGCAUCUUCAGACAUUAUUGUUCCUGGAUAGCAGAGGAACACCAAUUCUUCUAAAGCUUUAUCUUUUAUUUUAUUUUCUUCUGUUGAAACUAAAUAAACUACAAUAUUGAAUUUGUUA
rnacentral:misc_RNA from 1 species